GAAGGAGACAUACUGGGGCAAUGUCAAUCCGAUUGGUGUUAGGAGUUGUUAUGACGAGGGAAAGAGGACAGCUGAGACUUUAACAAUGGAUUACCAUAGAGGUGCUGAUGUUGAGGUGCGGAUUGCUCGCAUUUUCAACACAUAUGGCCCUCGCAUGUGCAUAGAUGAUGGGCGCGUGGUUAGCAAUUUUGUUGCACAGGCCCUUCGCAGAGAGCCACUCACUGUCUAUGGUGAUGGGAAGCAA
rnacentral:misc_RNA from 1 species